rnacentral:rRNA from 1 species
UCCUACGGGGGGCAGCAGUGGGGAAUAUUGGGCAAUGGAGGCAACUCUUACCCAGCAAUGCCGCGUGAAUGAAGAAGGUCUUCGGAUUGUAAAGUUCUUUAAUUGGGGACGAAAAAAAUGGCGGUACCCAAGGAAUAAGCCCCGGCUAACUACGUGCCAGCAGCCGCGGUAAUACGUAGGGGGCAAGCGUUGUUCGGAUUUACUGGGUGUAAAGGGAGCGCAGGCGGCGCGUUAAGCCUGGAGUGAAAGCC